AAAGGAGUACUUAUGGAUGAUAAAGGCCACUGUGGAGAAACUAAAUGAAUUCUUUGGAUUGGUCUUCAUAGCUGAGGAUGUGAGGUAGAUUCCAAAACCUGAGCCAUUCUUUUUAGGUGAGAAAUCUGAGGAACUAUCCCACAUUGAUGUGUCAUUUUGGAAAAAAAUUAUAAACUAAACAUUAAUAAAU